rnacentral:rRNA from 1 species
GAGCAUAUCAAUAAGCGGAGGAAAAGAAACUAACAAGGAUUCCCCUAGUAACUGCGAGUGAAGCGGGAAAAGCUCAAAUUUAAAAUCUGGCGGUCUCUGGCCGUCCGAGUUGUAAUCUAGAGAAGUAAUGCCCGUGCUGGACCGUGUAUAAGUCUCCUGGGAUGGGGCGUCAUAGAGGGUGAGAAUCCCGUCUUUGACACGGACUACCAGUGCAUUGUGGUAUGCUCUCAAAGAGUCGAGUUGUUUGGGAAUGCAGCUCAAAAUGGGUGGUAAAUUCCAUCUAAAGCUAAAUAUUGGCGAGAGACCGAUAGCGAACAAGUACCGUGAGGGAAAGAUGAAAAGAACUUUGGAAAGAGAGUUAAACAGUACGUGAAAUUGCUGAAAGGGAAACGCUUGAAGUCAGUCGCGUUGGCCAGGGAUCAGCCUUGCUUUUGCUUGGUGUACUUUCUGGUUGACGGGUCAGCAUCAAUUUUGACCGCUGGAAAAAGGCUUGGGGAAUGUGGCAGCUUCGGCUGUGUUAUAGCCCCUGGUCACAUACGGCGGUUGGGAUUGAGGAACUCAGCACGCCGCAAGGCCGGGUUUCGACCACGUUCGUGCUUAGGAUGCUGGCAUAAUGGCUUUAAGCGACCCGUCUUGAAACACGGACCAAGGAGUCUAACAUGCCUGCGAGUAUUUGGGUGAAAAACCCGAGUGCGCAAUGAAAGUGAAAGUUGAGAUCCCUGUCGUGGGGAGCAUCGACGCCCGGACCAGAACUUUUGGGACGGAUCCGCGGUGGAGCAUGUAUGUUGGGACCCGAAAGAUGGUGAACUAUGCCUGAAUAGGGUGAAGCCAGAGGAAACUCUGGUGGAGGCUCGUAGCGAUUCUGACGUGCAAAUCGAUCGUCAAAUUUGGGUAUAGGGGCGAAAGACUAAUCGAACCAUCUAGUAGCUGGUCUGC